CAUGCCGUAAACGAUGAUUGCUAGGUGUGGGUGGUCUGACCCCAUCCGUGCCGGAGCUAACGCAAUAAGCAAUCCACCUGGGGAGUACGGCCGCAAGGUUGAAACUCAAAGGAAUUGACGGGGGCCCGCACAAGCAGUGGAGUAUGUGGUUUAAUUCGAAGCAACGCGAAGAACCUUACCAGGUCUUGACAUCCAACGAAUUCUGUGGAGACACGGAAGUGCCCUUCGGGGAGCGUUGAGACAGGUGG
rnacentral:rRNA from 1 species